rnacentral:tRNA from 3 species
GCCGCCGUUGCACAGCCCGGUAGUGCAACUGACUGUUAAUCAGUAGGUCAAAGGUUCGAGUCCUUUCGGCGGCGCCA